CGGAGGCGGGUUCUGGACAGACCUACGCUGUCGGGGAGUGUUUACUUCGCCUCCACUUCUGUUCCUCCCCGCCCUGGUGCUGCUCCAGGUCACAUACUCUUCCUGAGCCGGCUUCAGCCUCUCCGCGCAGAAGUCUCCCGGAGCCAUGGCCUAGUAUUCUUAUGUGAAGUCUACCAAGCUUGUGCUCAAGGGAACCGAGGUGAAGAGCUGGGUCCUGCAGCUCCGGCGGGAGCCUCCUCAGUUCUUUUCGGACGCACUCCACCCCCGCGAAUCCGGUGGAAGCCGUGAUGCGGAGAGCCGGCUUCGUGGCCUCCCAGGCUUCGCUCUGACCCUGUCUGGGCUGGAUGGAGGCCGGACCGCCCUUCCUGGCGCCUGUGCAGAGAGGGGCAGCCUCCUGCGCGGACGACCCUGGAAACAGGAUAGACGGGCGGGUGACCCGUGACCCCGUACCCACGAGUUUGGGUCCCUUGAGGCAUCUCUCCAGGCCUCUGCCUGAUUUGCCUGAGGUUGACUGUACAUGCAAAUAUUGAGCUUUCCUCCUGGCCUCCGUGAUAAACAGAAGUUUUGAUAUUGUUAGGCGAGAUGGAAAGAAAGUAUCAAGGAGUGAGCUGAAGCCACUGCCCUUGAGAACCCUCUCGAGGAGUCUGGCCUCAUGAAGAUGCCAGAAUAAAUGGCAGUAAGAAGAAAAAGAGCAAAGAUAAGAAGAGAAAAAGAGAAGAUGAAGAAACCCAGCUUGAUAUGUUGAGGAACGCAGCUGCUCACCAGCAACGGAACAAAGCUGGACGGAGAAUGACUUUGAAGAGCUGAGAGAAGGCUUCAGACGAUCAAAUUACUCUGAGCUACGGGAGGACAUUCAAACCAAAGGCAAAGAAGUUGAAAACUUUGAAAAAAAUAAAUGUACAUUAAUUAACGUGGAAUCUGGUGAACAGUAACAAACUUUGGUGAAAUUUCAGGAACCAUAGCCAUUGAAGUGGAUGAGGGAACCUAUAUACAUGCACUCAACAAUGGUCUUUUUACCCUGGGAGCUCCACACAAAGAAGAAUCGCCCUGAAACCUGGCUAUGGAAAAUAUCUUAGUAUAAAUUCAGAUGAACUUGUUGUUGGCGUUCAGAUGCAAUUGGACCAAGAGAACAAUGGGAACCAGUCUUUCAAAAUGAUGGCCAUCCAGUAAUGAGAAUGAACAGUCUCCAACUAAAGGCAACAAUAUAGAUGAAUCUCGGAAACAUGAUAUUGACCAGACAGAAAAGAUUCCACUUACAUAAACUUCAAAAGAAGAUAAAACUGAUCUAUGACAUUAAUAGUCAGAAUAUUCAUUAUCCUUGAGGGAACUAAACUGGGAAGCCACAUGAUAGGGCAUCUGGAAGCUAGUAAUGUCCUCUUUCUUGAUCUGUUACAUUGGUGUGUUUAUUUCAUUAGAUUUAUUGAGCUAUACAUUUACCACCGUGUACUUGUCUCUGUAUAUGUUUUGCAUUGAAAUAAAUUUUACCAAUAAAAUGAUAAAGCAAAAU
rnacentral:lncRNA from 1 species